CCUACGGGGGACUGCAGUGGGGAAUAUUGCACAAUGGGGGAAACCCUGAUGCAGCGACGCCGCGUGAGUGAAGAAGUAAUUCGUUACGUAAAGCUCUAUCAGCAGGGAAGAAACACUGACCUUACGGUCAGCAGACGGUACCUGAGUAAGAAGCCCCGGCUAACUACGUGCCAGCAGCCGCGGUAAUACUGAGGGGGCAAGCGUUAUCCGGAAUUACUGGGGGUAAAGGGAGCGUAGACGGUGCGCCAAGUCUGGAGUGAAAUGCCGCGGCUUAACUGCGGAACUGCUUUGGAAACUGGCGAACUAGAGUGCGGGAGGGGUAAGCGGAAUUCCUAGGGUAGCGGUGAAAUGCGUAGAUAUUAGGAGGGACACCGGUGGCGAAGGCGGCUUACUGGACCGUAACUGACGUUGAGGCUCGAAAGCGUGGGGAGCAAACAGGAUUAGAUACCCGUGUAGUC
rnacentral:rRNA from 1 species